ensembl:lncRNA
CCUGGAUCAGAACAGGAAGUAGGGUCACCUGACAGGAAGCACCUGAGAUGAUAUAUAUAACAGCAACACACAGACAGACACAGAGAGAGACAGACAGAAUGCCGGGUGGCUGGACUGUUCUGGUAUGUGUGGCGCUGUGGGGGUGCUGGGGGGGUGAGACAGCGGAGUGUGAAUGUAAGGCCUGUAUUGAUUUAGACAAGCUGGACACCCUGCUGAAUAAGACUGGACAGCAGAAUGCGCAGCAGAAAGACCUGGUCCUUUUGAACGGCUCCUCCUUCAACCAAAUCAGAGUCAACCGCAAGCUCCAUGCCUGUGUCCUCAUGGAGAUCCUCAGAUUCUUCCGGAGCCUUCUGAAGAGAAGAUCUGAGAAUGACCUGCCUCACUUCCUUCAGAAGAUGGAGCACUGUGUCCGCAAGCUGGACAACGAGAGUUUCCAGGAACAGGUGAUGGAAGAACUCCAGGGUCUGAAGGCUUACGUCACAGGCAGCGGCUUCAAGCAUUACCAGCUGAUCUGAAACCAUGAUCGGCGGCCAUCUUGCUCCUCAGACUCAAUCUUCCUCUUUG